rnacentral:lncRNA from 1 species
GAUAGGCAAUUUUCAGAGGGAAAACUAGGAAAAGGGAUAACAUUUGAAAUGUAAAUAAAGAAAAUAUCUAAUGUUUUAAUUAAAAAGCCCCCUCCCAAAGCAUACCCAGGAUUUCAGCAUCUGCACACAAUGGUCAGCAGUCAUUGUUUUGGGGUUUUUUAUUUGUUUGUUUGUUUGUUUUGUUUUUUAUAAUUUUUUUUGAGACAGGGUUUCUCUGUAUAGCCCUGGCUGUCCUAGAACUUACUUUGUAGACCAGGCUGGCCUCGAACUCAGAAAUCCGCCUGCCUCUGCCUCCUGAGAGCUGGGAUUAAAGGCAUGUGCCACCACGCCCGGCUGUUUUUUUACAAUUUUUAAAUUUUUAUCGUAUGUGGAUGGAUGUUUUUUGUCUUCACGUAUGCAGUCUCCUCAGAAAGGUUAUUGUCUACUCUAGAACCUGAGCUGCAGGUUGUGAGCUGCCACGUGGGUGCUGGGAAUCAAGCAGGGCUCCUCUGGAAGAGCACGUAACUGCUGAUCUCUCUCUCCUGCCCCAUCAGUUAUUCUUGGUAUGAAGAUGUGCGUCAGUCACUAAACCUGUCACAAAGGGUGCAGUCAUCAGUUGAGCCUUUUAGGAUUUUGCUGAAUACACAUAAUUCAAAUAAAAAUUUAAAAGUAUUUCCAUGUAGGAAAAAAAUGUCCAUUCUCAAGAAUUACCAAGAAAUUAAAAAAGGCUCGUGCUAAAAAAUAAAAUAAAAUAAAAUAAAAUAAAUAAAGGAAAAGUGCAGGAACCCUGGAGAGAUGACGCAGUGGUUAAGAGCACUGGCUGCUCUUGCAGAGGACCCGAGUUCAAUUCCCAGCACACACACGGCAUUUCCUCUGGUACUGCAUGUACAAGACACACAGACAUACAUGCGGGUAAAACACACAUAUACGUACAAUAAAAUAAUAUUUUAAAAAUCCAACUUCUGCAAUUUAAGACAUGUAUUUCGCUUUCCCUGGCUUUAACUAAUUUAAAGACAUGUGUUCUGAGUUCCUCCUGUCAGUGUGAUAAAGCGAGAAGUGGCUUAGAGAAGAAAGUCGAGGAAGCGCACGGUUCCCAGCCACAGCCCAUCACCGAGAGGAGGCUGUUAGUCAAGCCAUGGUCAACAGCAGACAGAAAGGAUUCACGCUAACUUGUUUGCUUUUGUCCUCACACAAUUCAGGACGCAGCCCAUGAAAUGGUAACACCCACAGUCAGGGCAGCUCUUCUAUAAAAGUUCCUCACAGGCCUUCUUCCCACAGGUCCAGACAAUUGCUCACUGAGACACUCUUCCCAGGUUCUAGAUUGCAGCAAAUUGACAUUUAAAGCUAAGACUUGGGGGCUGGAGAAAUGUCUCAAUGGCUAAGAGCACUGACUGUUCUUCCGAGAGGAUCUGGGUUCAAUCUCCAGCACCCACAUGGCAGCUCACCACUGUCUGUACCUCCAAUAUUUGACACCCUCACACAGACAUAUGUGGAGGCAAAACACCAAUGCAGAUAAAAUAAAAUAAAACGCUAAGCCUCACCCAGGUUUACCUCUUGUAUCCCGGGUUGGGCUCUCACAUGUCUGUAGCUAAAGAUCACCUGGAACUUCUGGUUCUCCCACCUCAUGCUGGGGUUGCAGGUGUAUACCACCAUGCCUGGUUUAUCCAGCGCUGGGCAUCAAACUCAGGGCUUCAUGCGUGGCAAGCCCUUCACUAACAGAACCUCGGACCCUGCCAUUGGCCUUGCUGUUCUUGACUACAGUUGUGUUUUUACAUCUAUUUUACGUGCAUGAGUGUUCUGCUCACAUGUAUGUCUGUGUACCACACACAUGCCUAGUGCCUACAUCUAGAGAUCCCCUGGAGCUGGAGUUACAGAUGGUUGUGAGCCCCCGACGUGGAGCCCCUGCACGAGUGCUCCUAACCUCUGAGCCUUCUCUCCAGUCUCACUGACUGUAGGUAUUUAUCACGACCUGCCCGUACUUACAUAGUCCUGUGUUUUAACUUACAGGUGACAGUGCCCAGCUGGGUUUUGAUGUCCUGUGUGACAGUGACAGCAUAGACAUGGCUGCAUUCAUGAAUUACCUCGAAGCAGAGGGGGGCCUGGGUGACCCUGGGGACUUCAGUGACAUCCAGUGGGCACUCUAGCAUUUUGGCUUUGUACUUUAACAUGAGAAUCAUUUCAGAGUGUUUCAUUGACAAAACACUGUACUCUUGAGCACUGUAUUGGUACAUUUUUUAUCUCUUAUUACUAGUCUACUGACUUUUAUAUAUCUGCCCUUUAUUCUCACUGGGAUGUGCGGAGUCACACAUGCUCCUCCAAAGAGAAACAGCCAAGUUUAUCAAUCCCUCUUUACACAGUGAGAAGGCAGCUUGGGGGUCAGGCUGCCAUAUUUUUGCUAAAAUAUUCUGACCAAAAACUGCUACCAACCAUAUUGUUAGGGCUUUUUUUAAAUAUAUAUAUACUUUUGUUUUUGAGUUUGGGAUUUUUGUUUUGUUCUGUCUGUUUUCUGUUUUUGUCUUCAAGACAGGGUUUCUCUGUGUAGCCCUGGCUGUCUUGUAACUCACUCUGUAGACCAGGCUGGCCUUGAACUCAAAGAUCCGCCUGCCUCUUCCUCCCAAGUGUUGAGAUUAAAGCCAUAUAUCACAAUUCCCAGCUUAAAUACAGUCCCUAAAAUCAUGAGGCAAUGAGAAAUCACUUAGAAGCCAACUUUCUUCUAAUAAUUUGGAAUUUAGAAGGCAUUUUUAAAAAGUAACUAACCCAGAGGUAGCUCAAAUGGAGUGUAAGAAUUAGGAUGAUUUAAAAUUCUGGCCCAGGAAUGCAGCUCAGGUGACAGAGUCCUUGCCUAGCACCAAGUCUUGGGUUCAGUUCCUAGCACUGUAAACCAAUUUGGGUGCACACUUUGUAAUCCUGGCACUCAGGAGGAUCAUAAAUUCAAAGCCAGCCUUGGCACAAAGCAGAUUGAAGGUCAGCCUGGGAUUCACGAAACCCUGUCUUUUAAAAUAAAUAAAAAAAGAUUAUUU